UACGGAGGGUGCAAGCGUUAUCCGGAUUCACUGGGUUUAAAGGGUGCGUAGGCGGGCAGGUAAGUCAGUGGUGAAAUCCCCGAGCUUAACUUGGGAACUGCCGUUGAUACUAUCAUUCUUGAAUAUUGUGGAGGUAAGCGGAAUAUGUCAUGUAGCGGUGAAAUGCUUAGAUAUGACAUAGAACACCGAUAGCGAAGGCAGCUUGCUACACAAUUAUUGACACUGAGGCUCGAAAGCGUGGGGAUCAAACAGG
rnacentral:rRNA from 1 species